AUUAGCUGAGGAGUUAUAAAUAGGACGAAACGUACGUCCUGGAU
rfam:Schistosoma margrebowiei strain Zambia genome assembly, scaffold: SMRZ_contig0016241